rnacentral:sRNA from 2 species
CUCGCGGCCAUCGGGGAGUAGCCACCGUCCGCGUGACGGGGCCGCGUCAACAUGCUCGCGAGACAUCGCGUGGCGCGGCCGUCCGGAUUCGUCCGGAC